CGUGAGGAACCUGCCUUGGCGAGGGGAAUAACACUCCGAAAGGAGUGCUAAUACCGCAUGAUGCAGUUGGGUCGCAUGGCUCUGACUGCCAAAGAUUUAUCGCUCUGAGAUGGCCUCGCGUCUGAUUAGCUAGUAGGCGGGGUAACGGCCCACCUAGGCGACGAUCAGUAGCCGGACUGAGAGGUUGACCGGCCACAUUGGGACUGAGACACGGCCCAG
rnacentral:rRNA from 1 species